rnacentral:rRNA from 1 species
UCCUACGGGAGGCAGCAGUGGGGAAUUUUGGACAAUGGGGGGAACCCUGAUCCAGCAAUGCCGCGUGAGUGAAGAAGGCCUUCGGGUUGUAAAGCUCUUUUGUCAGGGAAGAAAAGGACUGGGCUAAUACCCUGGUUUCAUGACGGUACCUGAAGAAUAAGCACCGGCUAACUACGUGCCAGCAGCCGCGGUAAUACGUAGGGUGCGAGCGUUAAUCGGAAUUACUGGGCGUAAAGCGUGCGCAGGCGGUUGUGUAAGACAGAUGUGAAAUGCCCGGGCUUAACCUGGGAAUUGCAUUUGUGACUGCACGGCUAGAGUGUGUCAGAGGGGGGUAGAAUUCCACGUGUAGCAGUGAAAUGCGUAGAUAUGUGGAGGAAUACCGAUGGCGAAGGCAGCCCCCUGGGAUAACACUGACGCUCAUGCACGAAAGCGUGGGGAGCAAACAGGAUUAGAUACCCUGGUAGUCC